rnacentral:rRNA from 1 species
UGGGGAAUUUUGGACAAUGGGCGAAAGCCUGAUCCAGCAAUGCCGCGUGUGUGAAGAAGGCCUUCGGGUUGUAAAGCACUUUUGUCCGGAAAGAAAUCCUUGGCUCUAAUACAGUCGGGGGAUGACGGUACCGGAAGAAUAAGCACCGGCUAACUACGUGCCAGCAGCCGCGGUAAUACGUAGGGUGCAAGCGUUAAUCGGAAUUACUGGGCGUAAAGCGUGCGCAGGCGGUUUGCUAAGACCGAUGUGAAAUCCCCGGGCUCAACCUGGGAACUGCAUUGGUGGCUGGCAGGCUAGAGUAUGGCAGAGGGGGGUAGAAUUCCACGUGUAGCAGUNAAAUGCGUAGAGAUGUGGAGGAAUACCGAUGGCGAAGGCAGCCCCCUGGGCCAAUACUGACGCUCAUGCACGAAAAGCGUGGGGGAGCAAACAGGAUUAGAUACCCUGGUAGUCCACGCCCUAAACGAUGUCAACUAGUUGUUGGGGAUUCAUUUCCUUAGUAACGUAGCUAACGCGUGAAGUUGACCGCCUGGGGAGUACGGUCGC